GCCAUGGCCAAGUGCUAUUUAAUAAGACUGAACGGGUGUCCGUUGCAAGGGACUCCGAAGAGCUGUGGCAAGGGGUGGAAAGCCAAUCUAACCUGGAGAUAGCUGGUCUUCUGCGAAACCCGUUUUAGCGGGUCGCCCAUUUAUUGAAAUUAAAUUCGUUACUAGACGGUACGGCACUGGAAGCCACGCAGCUUUUGCUGCAUAAUCGGGGGGCUGUCAUGGCUCUAUCGAUGGCUUCUAACCCCGGAAAUGUAUAGUAUACAAUGAUGGGCAAUCAGACGUAUCGUGAUAAGGCGAUUCGUCAAGAGGGCAACAGCCCAGAACAGGUGUGAAGGUCCCUAACAAGCUACUGAGUGAACACAAGGCAGUCCUCUCCAGUGUCUCUCCACAAAGUGGGCUUGGAAGCAGCCACCUUUUAGCGAUAGCGUAACAGCUCAGUGGUCUGAGCCUCCCUGUAAAAAGGGAAUAUUGCCUGGUGAGGGCGCCAAAAAUGUAACGGGUCUAUAGUAGUUGUCUCUCUGUUCCAGCUUUGGAUAUGGAGGGAGUGGCAGUUUCUUCACUGUCUCACCGAAACCCUGUCCUAGAUGUAAAAUUCUAGGGGUAGCAGAAUACCCAGCAAAUGGAAUGAAGCUUGCUCAUUGAGCCGGUGGACAUAGCUGGGCUAAGAAUGCUGACAUGAGUAGCCUAAAAGGAGGGUAAUUCCCUCUUCGCCGAAAGCAGAAGGGUUUCAUUUGUAAGGUCUAUACCUAGAUGAUUAAAG
rnacentral:rRNA from 1 species